rnacentral:rRNA from 1 species
CCUACGGGUGGCAGCAGUGAGGAAUAUUGGUCAAUGGCCGGAAGGCUGAACCAGCCAUGCCGCGUGAAGGUCAGUGCCCUAUGGGCGUUAAACCUCUUUUGUGCGGGAGCAAUAAUGGUCACGUGUGGCCAGACGAGAGUACCGUACGAAUAAGCAUCGGCUAACUCCGUGCCAGCGGCCGCGGUAAAACGGGGGAUGCAAGCGUUAUCCGGAUUUUUUGGGUUUAAAGGGUGCGUAGGCUGUGAGGUAAGUCAGCGGUGAAAAGCCCCCGCUCAACGGGGUGAGGUGCCAUGGAUACUGCCUAGCGGGAGUGCGAGUGCGGUGGGAGGAAUGUGUGGGGUAGCGGUGAAAUGCAUAGAUAGCACACAGAACACCGAGUGCGAAGGCAUCUCACGGACCCGCAAUUGACGCUGAUGCACGAAAGCGUGGGUAUCAAACAGGAUUAGAUACCCCUGUAGUC